UACGUAGGGCGCAAGCGUUGUCCGGAAUUAUUGGGCGUAAAGAGCUCGUAGGCGGUUUGUCGCGUCGGCUGUGAAAACCUAAGGCUCAACCUUGGGCUUGCAGUGGGUACGGGCAGGCUAGAGUGCGGUAGGGGUGACUGGAAUUCCUGGUGUAGCGGUGGAAUGCGCAGAUAUCAGGAGGAACACCGAUGGCGAAGGCAGGUCACUGGGCCGCAACUGACGCUGAGGAGCGAAAGCAUGGGGAGCGAACAGG
rnacentral:rRNA from 1 species